rnacentral:tRNA from 1 species
UUUGCGUUCAAUUGAUGUGAGAUAGAGUCUCGCAGUCCUUA